AGACGAACAUCUGAAUCCGAUUUUGAAGAAGUCUUGCAUCGAUGGACACUGACAAAAUAUAGGAAGCUGCACAUGAAUGUUGGGUAUUUUAUCAUAAGUAGAAUACAGAUAGAUUCUGUAGUAGUAGAUCUCUUUAGUUGGGUAUUGAAAUUGGCUUUGGUUUGUAUGGGGUCUGAUGAGGUCUCAGUUGCAUUUGAUCCUACUUGUUAUUUAUCACUGCCAAUGCCAGUCGAAAAGGAAGUACCAGUUGACCUGUAUCUGGCUAACGUGGACCUUUUAGCAGAAAUUUUUCUGCUUUCAAGGGAUUCAAAGAGUUUGCAGAAUAUUAUGUCUCUAGGAUUCCACAGUUUUAGGUAAUUCAAUUGACAAGAAAUUUACACUGAUUUUUGUUUUAUUUUUCUAAAGGCAGAUUCUUAAUUAUAAAGGAUUGGGAAAGAAAAUUGACGGAGGCUCAGUGCCAAAAAAAUUAUGGUAGUUGGAAUGAUUACCGAAGCUCUUCGGAUUCGUUUAUUUCACUCGUUAUGGUAUUUAAAGAAAAUAAACGUGUACCUGUGCCCCUUUGUAUCUGUGACCCGAUUUCCUCUUCACUUGCGAUAAUUCUGCAGCGGGUCAUGCAGAUACUGUGAUCAGCAGAAAAAGUUGGAAGUGCGCUGCCCGGAAAGCAAAUCUGGGGUAAAAGAAAAAAACUUAUUCCAACUAGUAAGCCAUUCCCAAAUUCAACCAACAAAAAGGAAAAGGUGGAAGGAAAAACUUCGUUCUCUGGUAGUGUUUUAGUUAAAAUCCUUUUUGUGCAAAUUCAUUUUUGAAAUUGUUUACCUCAUUUUCGAAUGGUUCCGUUCACAUUUGUUGUUCAUGUGAGAUUUUAUGUUUACCAGUUACUGCAUUAUAUUGACCACUAUUGCAAGAUGUUUGUUUAGGAAUAACUACUGUUUUGUUUAUCUGGAAUGUUGUGUGGGAGUCCAUCAGGAAUUGCUGGUCUGCAGUAAAUUUGUCAGGCUAGGUGAUGAAGAUCAAUGAAUCAGAAAAUGUUUUGCAUGGGUGGUGAAUGUUCUGACAGUUUUAACAGUUGUGAUGUGGUGUAUUUCACUUCCACGCAUCAUGGUGUUUUUAUCUAUCAGUUGAAUUGUAUGGUUAAUUUUCUGUUCGUGUAACCUCAUUUCCUCUUGAAUCAUAUAGUAGAAAUUGGUGACCUGAAACAAUGAACAUGGAAAAAUCACCUGUGCCAACGUUGACGAUGUUUGAUUGAUGAAGUGCUGGAAACUAAAAUUAAUUUUCUUUACAAUUUGGUUUCAGGCUAUCUUUAUAAUUUUUUAUUAGUUUUGCGUUUGUUUAGAGUCCGCAAGCUCGUAGCUGAUUUCCUCCUUUAGAUACCGCCUGUCGACGGUUUGACAGCCUCACACAAUUGAACGUAUGCCAAAAAGCCAAAGUGAGCUCUUCCGAUCAGAAAAGUGACGGCGUAUCCAUUUAAUUGAAAAUAGGCACAAGAUAACGCACAAUUGGCGUUCUUGCCUCAAUGGAGAAAUUUUUCCGUGGAACUUAUGACCGAAAUACCAUUGCAGCUGUUCAAAAAAAAAAGAAAAGUGUAUUAUCAUGCAGAUGUUGACUAGCUAACAAUCCAGAGAUACGUCAACUUGCGAAAUUUCUAGAUGUGUGUGAAGCGCAAUCAGCAUCCUUGUUGAACUGUGAACCCAAAUCAUGUAUUUUCCUAGAAAUAUCUAGGUUUUUGGAUAAAUAAAUAAAAGUCAGUGAAAAAAUGUGA